GGAGAGGUGUCCGAGUGGUUUAAGGUGCCGCUCUCGAAAAGCGGUAGGCGCAAGCCUCGUGGGUUCGAAUCCCACCCUCUCCGCCA
rnacentral:tRNA from 1 species